rnacentral:rRNA from 1 species
GACGAACGCUGGCGGCGUGCUUAACACAUGCAAGUCGAACGGAAAGGCCCUGCUUGCAGGGUACUCGAGUGGCGAACGGGUGAGUAACACGUGGGUGAUCUGCCCUGCACUUCGGGAUAAGCCUGGGAAACUGGGUCUAAUACCGGAUAUGACCUUCCAUGUAGUGUGGGGGGUGGAAAGAUUUAUCGGCGUGGGAUGAGCCCGCGGCCUAUCAGCUUGUUGGUGGGGUAAUGGCCUACCAAGGCGUCGACGGGUAGCCGGCCUGAGAGGGUGGACGGCCACAUUGGGACUGAGAUACGGCCCAGACUCCUACGGGAGGCAGCAGUGGGGAAUAUUGCACAAUGGGCGGAAGCCUUAUGCAGCGACGCCGCGUGGGGGAUGACGGCCUUCGGGUUGUAAACCUCUUUCGACAGGGACGAAGCUUCGGUGACGGUACCUGUAUAAGAAGCACCGGCUAACUACGUG